CGAGUUCCCGUACGAUCACUGAUAUUAAGCAACGUCGAGCCUGUUUAGUACCUAGAUGGGGAACCGCUUGGGAAUACAAGGUGCUGAAA